GCGCGCCUCCGCCCGCUUGAAGCCGGCGGCGGCUCCGCUCAACUUCGGCGAAGGGGCCGGCGUCGAGGCGGCGCUGCCCCGGCGCGGCCAGCGGCCGCUCGCCUCAGCGUCGGCGGCGGGACGGGAGCGGGUGGCCGCGUGAAGACACACAGAGCACUAUGUCACUGGCAUCCUGGUUCAGGUGGAAUGAGCCCCCAAACCGCAUUUCCCAGAGGAACCCCACAGAAAUGGUGGUUGAGACGCUCAUGAUGGAGCUGAGCUGGCAAACCAAGCAGGCAGAGAAGCAGCAGCGAGAGCGGGAGAAUGAGUAUCGCAAGAUCAAGACUGGGGUGGACUACGGCUGGCUGGUCAGCUACCCAAAGCAGAGCUAUGAUAUCAGCCCAGGAGAACGGCUGCAGCUGGAGGAUAUGUGUACCAAAAUACAUCCUUCCUACUGUGGGCAUGUCAUACUCAGAUUCCGGCAACUCAUUGCUGAAUAUGAACCAGAAGUGCAGGAAGUAUCCCGGCUUUUCCGCUCUGUCCUGCAGGAAACUGCUGAAAAGAUCAAAGAGGAGGAAGAAGCCAAAAAGCUUGCCAGGCAAUGGAACACAAAGAACAAAACCAGCCUCUCCUUAACAACUUUUAAAUCCCGGUCCAGGAUUUCCCCCUUCAUCAGCGACAUCAAGACCAUCUCUGAGGAUGUGGAAAGGGGCACCCAGCCCACCAGAAGGGUUUGGAGCAUGCCAGAAUUUCGGAAUGCCAAGGAUUACUGACUCUAUACUGAACAAGGUUUUUAGACAGUGAUCUUUCAAAAUCCCAGUUAACCCUUUUUUAGCUCUACUGUCUCUUCUUUGUUGCAACUCUCUCUUCCUGCCUGUCUCCCUCUUGGAAGUUGUGUCCAUAGUAACUGCUGCUGAUGCCCGCGGUGUGUGACACGAUUUAUUACCAAACAUGCUAGCCUUUCCUUUAAUUUAGUAGCUAUUCAGUAACCUUAAGGGCAAGGCUUACUUACUAUCUCAUUUUUAUUACUGCUUUCUUGUGGAAAAUGAAUUAGUUUUGUGAUGUCUGUCUUUUCCUUUCACCCUCCCCCCCAAGCCUGGAUGUAGUUAUCUAUAAAAGCUUUUGGCCCAAGCUAGUGAGAGCUGCUGGCUGGAGGGAAUCCUGCUGAAAGCAAGGCAGCCACUUAUAUGACUAAGGCUUGCAGGAUCAGGCCUGUAGGUUAAAGCUAGUAUCUGAUUUGGAACUGAACUUCCUUUUCCAACUAAUAACCUUUCUCACUGCUACAGGAAACUUCACAGGUAACCUCAGCACUGCUCUUGAUCAGCUUUUUGCUGGCAAUUUGCAAUCCAACCUGAGUAGAAACAGACCCAAGCUUUUUGAGAUGAAAGACCAAUAUUAUUCCACAGCAACCAGUUUAUGCAUGCUCAGGUUUCUUGGGUAUUUUCUCUUUUGUGCAGGCAGAACCCCCUGAACCUCGCAGCUGCAGAGUAGAUAGAAACUUUACAACCCGCUGUGUAGAUAUACAGGUGGAUACAUCAGUGCUGUGUCAAAUGCUGUUCUUGGUCCUCAGCGGUCUCUGUUGCUGAGGUUUUGGUAUCAGGCCAGAGCAUCACUGUUGCCCUGUUGCUGAGAGUGUCAUGCUGUCUAAAGGACAUUGUCACACCCAAGAAAAAGCAGUCCUAGACUUACUAUACAUUCUAAAAAUCAGUGGCAACACCUCUACAGCAGCUCAGCUGCACUGCUCAGCUCCAAGGGGCUGAUGCUCCUCAGAGUCAGUACUCACCUGGGAGAGACUGUGCAGCCCUGCUUCUGUGACUCCUACAGACGAUCCUGGCCCACAGGCUGAGGUAGCCAGCAAAGGUGUGCAGGAGGUGAGGUUCCUCACCCAUAUCAGCAUACAGCUCAGACAGCUAGCACGCCGUGGGGAAUUGGAGUAAGCUUCGCAGGAAAUACCUGUCUGCUGAGAUUGCACUGUUUAUACAUUUCAUCACAGAACCUCAGAAAAUUAAAGCAAAGCUGUGAAAUACAAAACAAUUUUUUGUACUUCUUGUCUUUAAUUAAAGAUCUCCUGAAAUAUAAUCUGUCCUCAUCUAGCCAAACAAAACAGCUGGUCCACUGCCCUACUGUACACUAUGUAGGUAUCAAAGGAGGAAGGCAAGAAUGGUAAAGGCACUUGAUAUAAAUAAAAAACCUCAUCCUCUCUCUACGGGCUACAAAUGCAGUCGCCUACCUUCUAUCUUGCUACUUCUACAAAGAGAUCCCAGGAUUUAAGGUGAUAAAUAACCAGCAUUAAACAACUGCAAAGGUCUGAAAUUGUCUGAAGCUAAGUGGUUUACAGAUACAACCUUGAACUGAAGUCUGCAUCAACAUGCUUCCAAGCACAUCUUACAUUGAAAUGAGAAGAUAUAAGCAACAAAAUGGAUGUUUUAUCUCCAGAUACUUUUCAGUCACUUCUAUUGAUUCUGUACCUGAUCCUGGCUAGUAGAACACCUUUAUAUUAGUAGAUGGCUCCAGAUGGCUCAGGGAUCCCUGUUCUAAGCAUCAUAUAUGCAAAGCAUGCAUAUGCUAAACAAAAGGAAGUAAUUUUUUUUCACCACACAAAGUAAUACUGAAGUAUGGAUUGCCUUGCUCAGCAUAUUCUGCAGAUCAGACAGACAAGUUGUUCAAAAGGGGACUACCCAAGUUCAGAGGGUUAGUAAACCACAGUACUCAGGAUGCAGCCUACAGCACUUCCCAGAAGCUGCCAGCACUUGACAAGCAAAUCUCUCUGUGUCGUUGCUUACACUGCUUCCCCAAAACAUUACUAUAGGCCUCUCCCAGGAGGAAAACAUGGACAGCUAGGCCUUGACUGCAUGGCCAUUCUGAUAUUCUUGUGUUCUGCUGCACCUCCUUGAAAAAAGGAUUGUAGUUUUGCCCCAAAAGCAUUCCAAAGCACUAGACUGCAUGAGUAAAACCUUUUCUGGUUGUGCCCUGCAAUAGAGGCAGGGCUAUUAAACCUCCCUCAGUUCUACCCACCUGUGCCAGGCAGAGACAUCGUAAUUUCGGCGCCUGCCUUCCCCUGAUACUGCUGUCCGUGCCAUGGGCUGUCAGCACAAGGGACCUCUUGUUCCCUUUGUAUGAUCAGACAAGCCACAUUUCAAGCCAGCUUAUAUCAGAAAGAUACUGUGCUGGCCCUGAGAGUUAGGGUCUCCCAAUGACUUCCAUGUAUUUUCUGUGCAGUUGCUGCACAAAGAUGUGCUCAAACUAAGGGAAAAUAAUCUUUGCAGGAUGAGAUCUUAAUAAACAUGACAGAAAUGUGAGGAAAAGGGCUGCAAGAUGCACAGUGAAUUAUGUGGUGACUUACGGUCAUCUGUGUAUAGUGUACGCUUCAUAAAAUUAUAAAUUCCUAGGGUCUUGGCUGGAUAACCGGAUUACAGCACCUGACCUCUAUAUUUUUGUCACAAUUACAUUUUGCCUCUAUCAAAUAAAUCUAACCUGACCCAGUAGCACAAUACUGCAGAAGUGUGGGAAAGACCAUGUGUGCUUUCUACAUCAGAGUAUCUACUCUCAGAAUUUAAUUACUGUUACAUCUGUUUAGCGAUCACACUGCCACAUUCUCAGAGGCUUCUAUCAGGUCAUAGUCCACAUGCAGUACCUUUUCCAACAUUAAUUUCUGCAGUGUCAUGUUGCCUAAAGCAACAAAUUGCACCCAAUUUAGUCUGAAGACUAUUUAAAUAACCAGAUGUGGUAUGAAGCAGUGACAGUGAAAUACUCCUCAGGUAUUUUGUCUAUUUUUUUCCUAUAUUCUGGCACUGGAAGUCUGAAAUUAUUUCAGAGAUGGAGAAGUGCAGGGUGCGGUUUCUGAAGAACCCAGCAGCCCCAAGUAGGGCUGGUGCAAGAACAUCUGGUCCUUCCAGGUCCCUUCCUGCUCUCAGCAACUUGCUCCUGUUGCAUUCAACUGCUUAGAAGUUAAAGGCUUCCUUCUGCCUUCAGCACACAAGAAGCAACAAGAGAGACUAUUGUCUGUCCACAACACAGCCAACAGCAAGAAACAAACAAAGACUAGAUUAAAUUCAUAGGACAGCAGUAACAAAUGUUCCCCAUAAACACCACAUAAUUAGGUCUUUGCAGGCUAAUUACAGGGUUGCAGAAUAAGAAAGUGCAAAGCCACUGUCCGAAGGUAAAAUAAAUAAUUAAUUUUAAAAAUUCCGUGACAGUCCAGCUGGACAGCAAUGCCACCUGCUGGCAGACUUCCCAGCACUAAUUAACCAAGAAACAGGCAGCCACUUUCUAACCAGGCCUCUCCUGACAAAUAGAGAUUCCUGACUCUCCCGCUUCCUUUGCCUCCCACCAUGGUCACCGCAGAGCGGCCCACCAACAGAGAGCAACAUGAACACAACUGAUGGUAGCUGUAGUGUUUAGGACCUUAUUGGAAGACAGCACCAGUGGGCAGCACACUGGUAUCAGAACAGUUGUCAUCUUAAACAUUGUGUCUCUGCCAUCAAAAUAUACUUAUCAGACUGGAUAUUAAUGAUGUUCUUCACGCUGCUUGAACAGGCUGAAAACAUGCUUCCUUAGAGCUCUCAGCACCAUCUCCUGCUCUCCCCUCAGAAAACACCAGAUGUUUCAUGUUCCUUGUGAAUCACAAUUUAAGACUGAAAUUGAACGGGCAGAAAAAAAUACCUGCUGUCAACCACCAAAUAAAUCA